UACGAAGGGGCUAGCGUUGUUCGGAAUUACUGGGCGUAAAGGGCGCGUAGGCGGCUUGGUCAGUCCCGUGUGAAAUCCCUCGGCUCAACUGAGGAACUGCACGGGAAACUGCCUGGCUUGAGUUCGGGAGAGGGAAGCGGAAUUCCGGGUGUAGCGGUGAAAUGCGUAGAUAGUCCGGACGGAAGCACCGGUGGCGAAGGCAGCCCC
rnacentral:rRNA from 1 species